ACACGAUACGAAUCCGGAGAUUGGUAUUACGGAUACAAAACGACGUAUUCCUAGGCGAACGAUGAGUAAUGGUGGUGUCUUGUGUGUGCGUGCUCGUGAGACGCGGAAUCGUUAACGUUUUCGAGCCUGGUGUGCGGUUAUGUAUUAUAUCCCGUGCGGGUCAGAGGGAUCGGGUGAUGGGAUGAAAAGGAAAAAAGAAAAAAAGAAAAAAAAAAAAAGGGAAGAGAAAGAAAAAUUAGAAAUACUCGAGCAGGGCGUCGAACGACGGUCGAUUUCAGUGAAAGUGAAUAUAGGGACACCUGUAUAAAAUCGGGAACCGAAACGAGUGAUGGCACAUUCGAAUACGGGAGCGACGAUGAGGAGCGCGUACGUUGUGUUUUGCCUUUUGGCGGGCGCGGUGGUGGCUGAGAAAGCCGAGACAGCCGAGAAACAGGCGAGGAAGACGAAGCGAGGAAUCCUGUUGGGCACUGCGGGAUCACCGGUUGCUUUGGACUUCGCCUCGAGAUACGACUUCGAAUCCAGCGGGUUCGGAUUGACGGGGCUCGCCAAUGGAUUGGGGGCCGGCCAACUUUCAGGAGGAUUAGCAGGGGGUGGAGCCGCCAUCGUCCACCAAGCGCCAGUCCUCGUCCACCGGUAUCCCUCACUGUCUACUGCUUAUUACGCGAGGCAGCAUCCUCUGGUCAGGGAUGUUCACACGCCUCAUCAGAGACCAGUUGCCCAGCCACCCGCUGUUAGAUUGCAGGCCUCUUCUCAGCCGAUCUCCGUUUCCCAACACGUCAACAUUCCCCAGACGACGGUGCCAGUCGUGUCUCAAUCCGUUCCUGUCGUCGUGUCCGCCGUGUCCUCGAGCUCGGCUGGAACCGGCUUCUCUUCCAGGAUCGAUUCCAGUGGCAGCGUGGCUGGAUCCUCUGGCCUGGCCUCUUCUUCGGCUACCGAUCUCGGCUCGAGAGGGUUGAUCCCCAAUCUUCUUGGACACGCUUCGUCCGGCUCGAUUGGAGGGGUUGCCGCUCUUGGAGGAGUUGGCACUGUUUGAGAGGAAGAAAAGGAAAUGGAUGGAACGAAAAGAAGAAGGAAAGUUGCAGUAGAGUUGCCUUGUGUGAAAUGAUUUUUCAUCCACGAAUCAUGGAAUGAAGUGUUCUUCCAUACCUUUUAUAUCACGAUUUACAAUUUUCGAUUGUGAUGAAACAUAAUCAAACACGAUGAAACAUAAUCAAACACGAUGAAACAUAAUCAAACACGAUGAAACUUAAUGAAACACGAUGAAACAUAAUGCGUUCAACUUUGUUU